AAAUGAUGAACUCACAUUAAAAAGCUGUAAUAACCAGCAGAUUAGGUAAUGGGCAAACCUAAUGGUUUUCUGAAG